CCGCCGGCGACCGGCGCACGGGUGAGUAACACGUAUGCAACCUGGCCGUGACAGAUGGAUAACCGGGAGAAAUCCCGCCUAAUACAGCAUGACGCCGGGAAGGGACAUCCCUUUCCGGCCAAAGGGGGCGACUCCGGUCACGGAUGGGCAUGCGGCGCAUUAGGUAGUUGGUGGGGCAACGGCCCACCAAGCCGACGAUGCGUAGGGGGUUCUGAGAGGAAGGUCCCCCACAUUGGAACUGAGACACGGUCCAAACUCCUACGGAAGGCAGCAG
rnacentral:rRNA from 1 species